rnacentral:rRNA from 1 species
AUUGAACGCUGGCGGCAGGCCUAACACAUGCAAGUCGAACGAGUGGCGGACGGGUGAGUAAUGUCUGGGAAACUGCCUGAUGGAGGGGGAUAACUACUGGAAACGGUAGCUAAUACCGCAUACCAUCGGAUGUGCCCAGAUGGGAUUAGCUAGUAGGUGGGGUAAAGUCUCACCUAGGCGACGAUCCCUAGCUGGUCUGAGAGGAGGACCAGCCACACUGGAACGGAGACACGGUCCAGACUCCGACGGGAGGCAGCAGUGGGGAAUAUUGCACAAGUGGCGCAAGCCUGAUGCAGCCAUGCCGCGUGUGUGAAGAAGGCCUUCGGGUUGUAAAGCACUUUCAGCGGGGAGGCGUUACCCGCAGAAGAAGCACCGGCUAACUCCGUGCCAGCAGCCGCGGUAAUAC